GACGAACGCUGGCGGCGUGCCUAAUACAUGCAAGUCGAGCGAAGUUUUUCUGGUGCUUGCACUAGAAAAACUUAGCGGCGAACGGGUGAGUCACACGUAAAGAACCUGCCUCAUAGACUGGGACAACUAUUGGAAACGAUAGCUAAUACCGGAUUACAGUAUUUCUCGCAUGUGAGAUAUUUAAAAGUUGGUUGUGCUAACACUAUGAUAUGGCUUUGCGGUGCAUUAGCUAGUUGGUGGGGUAAAGGCCCACCAAGGCGACGAUGCAUAGCCGACCUGAGAGGGUGAUCGGCCACACUGGGACUGAGACACGGCCCAGACUCCUACGGGAGGCAGCAGUAGGGAAUCUUCCGCAAUGGGCGAAAGCCUGACGGAGCAACGCCGCGUGAGUGAAGAAGGAUUUCGGUUCGUAAAGCUCUGUUGUUAGGGAAGAAUGGAUAUGUAGUAACUAUACAUGUAAGAGACGGUACCUAACCAGAAAGCCACGGCUAACUACGUG
rnacentral:rRNA from 1 species